rnacentral:rRNA from 1 species
GAUGAACGCUGGCGGCGUGCCUAAUACAUGCAAGUCGAGCGAACAGACGAGGAGCUUGCUCCUCUGACGUUAGCGGCGGACGGGUGAGUAACACGUGGAUAACCUACCUAUAAGACUGGGAUAACUUCGGGAAACCGGAGCUAAUACCGGAUAAUAUAUUGAACCGCAUGGUUCAAUAGUGAAAGACGGUUUUGCUGUCACUUAUAGAUGGAUCCGCGCCGCAUUAGCUAGUUGGUAAGGUAACGGCUUACCAAGGCAACGAUGCGUAGCCGACCUGAGAGGAUGAUCAGCCACACUGGAACUGAGACACGGUCCAGACUCCUACGGGAGGCAGCAGUGGGGAAUCUUCCGCAAUGGGCGAAAGCCUGACGGAGCAACGCCGCGUGAGUGAUGAAGGUCUUCGGAUCGUAAAACUCUGUUAUUAGGGAAGAACAAAUGUGUAAGUAACUAUGCACGUCUUGACGGUACCUAAACAGAAAGCCACGGCUAACUACGUG